rnacentral:rRNA from 1 species
UACAGAGGGGGCAAGCGUUAUUCGGAAUUAUUGGGCGUAAAGGGCGCGUAGGCGGCUUGGCAAGUGGAAGGUGAAAUCCCUCGGCUUAACCGAGGAACUGCCUUCCAGACUGCUUUGCUUGAGGCCGGGAGAGGCGAGUGGAAUUCCCAGUGUAGCGGUGAAAUGCGUAGAUAUUGGGAGGAACACCAGUGGCGAAGGCGACUCUUUGGCCUGUAACUGACACUGAGGCGCGAAAGCGUGGGGAGCAAACAGG